GCGGGGAUAGUCAAGUGGUCAACGACGCAAGACUUAGGAUCUUGUCUCGUAGGAGUCCGUGAGUUCGAGUCUCACUCCCCGCACCA
rnacentral:tRNA from 1 species